rnacentral:lncRNA from 1 species
UCCAACCGAUGUCAUCCCUCCGCUUAUCGCAAACUCGAACUAUUUGUGAUAUGUUAGGUGGAAGCAAUGCUUUCGAAUUGGAGUAUACUGGCAGUUGUAAUUCUUCAAAGAGUUGCAAUCCAUUUGGUGAUGGUAUUGGAUAUUUACCUUCAGUAAUAUCGUUGAGUAUGAUUCAGUGCUCAAACGAUAGGCAAAGCUUGAGGUUUCUGAUAGAAUUCCGGAACGACAGCUAUCAGGGAUACUAUAGCUCUCCCAAUCUCAACACUUCAUUAAUUGGAGAAGGAUCUUGGGAUGCAAAGAGUAAUCGGCUUUGUAUCAUUGCUUGCCGAAUCUAUGAUGCAUCGAGCUCCUUGGAGAAGUCUCAUGUCGGAGACUGCACGACACGGUUGAGCUUAAGAUUCCCUGCAAUCUUGUCUAUCAGAAACCCAAGCACCAUUGUAGGAGAAAUUUGGAGUGAGAAGCCUAGGAAUGAAGGUGGUUUCUUUGACAGGGUCGAGUUCCGAAAUACUGGACGUUAUGGAGGAGGAAUUCAACUUCAAGGUUUGAAGUAUGUGUACACGGAAAUGGACGAAGUGAAGAAAUCAUGUCCAAAGAAGAAUUCUAGGACUAAUAGCAGUAUGGAACACUAUCCAGAUGGCUAUUCUGGAGACAUGAGUUUUAGUAUGUCCAUCAUUAACGGUUCCAAAGGAAGCAUCGGAUGGGGUUCUUCGGAUAUUCUUGCGGUAGAUGAUCAGCAGUAUCAGAGAUUUCCAUCUCUAUUACCAUCCUCAAGCUCAAAGCCUAAAAGUUCUGGCGUUGAAUCCGAUUCCAGCAGUGGCUUGCUUAAUGUCAGCUAUAAAAUUAGCAUCCCGCCACUUAGUUUGGAAUUGGAUGGUGGCCUCAAACCGGUUAACCAAUCUUCAUAUGAAUAUCUGCAAACCAAAAUCCAAAUUUCUGCUGAAGGGGUUUAUGAUACAACAACAGGUAGCCUAUGCAUGGUUGGCUGCAGGCGUUCAAGGUUAGACGGCAAAUCAUUUUCAAGCCAUUCGAUAGAUUGCGAUAUCCUUGUGCAAGUCAACUUUCUUCCAUUGAACUCGCGCAAGACAAAUAACAUUAAGGGAAGCAUCGAGAGCACGCGUGAAAAAACCGAUAGUCUGUAUUUCAAGCCUCUGCAGAUUUUGGGAACAACUUAUUCUCGCAGUUGGGGAGCGGAAUCGGUUUGGAGAAUGGAUUUCGAGAUGAUCGGGUCGGUCGUAUCCAACACUCUUGCAAUUAUCUUUGUUGCAUUUCAAAUCUUUCAUGUGAGGAAGCACCGUGGCAUUGGUCCUAUGGUUUCACUUCUCAUGCUUGUUAUUCUAGCCCUGGGACACUUGAUCCCUUUGGUUCUAAACCUCGAAGCAAUGUUCAUUCAAGAUAGCGAGAGAUCGGUCUUGAUUAGAGGUGGAAAGUGGCUCGAAAUGAACGAGGUGAUAAUUAGAGUCGUCACAAUGGUGGCUUUUCUGCUGCAAGUCCGUCUUCUGAUGCUCUCAUGGACUGCUAGAUGCUCCACUGAGAAGAAAAAGACCUUGUGGAUUGCAGAGAAAAGGGGGCUGUAUGUGUGUGCUCCGGUGUACGUAAUCGGAGCUAUUAUCGCCUUUUCGGUUAAGUCAAGGCAGAAUGUACACAGAACAGUAAUGGCCAGGCAUUCUUGGUACGACAUAGAUGAAAUCAUUUUGGGGAAUUCAAGAGCUUAUGCUGGUUUGAUACUGGAUGCCUUUCUUUUCCCUCAAAUCAUCUUCAACAUGUUCCACAACUCGAGAGAACUGGCUCUUUCUCGACUCUUUUACAUCGGAAUCACCCUUGUUCGCCUCGUACCCCAUGGAUAUGAUCUUUACAGGGCAAACAGCUAUGUUGAUAUAGAUGACACAUACAUUUAUGCAGAUCAUGGUGCAGAUUACUACUCAACUGCUUGGGACUUCAUUAUUAUUGUGUUGGGUAUAUUCUUUGCUGUGAUCAUACACUACCAACAGCGCCUCGGCGGUCGAUAUUUCCUUUCGAAGAGAUUCCUAGAAUCUGUGAUAGAUGAGGAACCUCCAGUGGAUUCAGAAGAACAAUUGCCAUUGAAAUAUAGCACCUAGUCCAUGCCUUGUGUUACUUCUAAGUGUUCACAACUUUUACUGUUUCCAAAUAAUUCUGUAAAUUGAUCCUUUUUCUUUUAUAGCUUAAUAAGCCUAAUGUAAUAUAAAGUUAUAAAUAAAAUUGUUUUAAAAAAUAUUUUAUUUUAAAUUUUUAUUUUAGAUUAAAGUUUGGGUGAGCCUUAAAUGCGAAUAUGUACCCAAAAUGAAUAAAUUUAAAAAUUAUACUCUUUUUUUUAUAUUUAAAUAUAAAUCCAACAUAAAUUCUUACAAAAUUAAAAGUAAAUGUUUAUAUAAAUCUUUAUACAAAUUUAUUGGCAUGUAGCAUAACAUUUCCUUGUAAUUUUGGUGUUUUCAGCUUUCCAUUUACCAACUUUUGACUUAGUUUACUCCUCUCUGGUGUUUGAUAAAAGCUAUUAAAACCUAUAAUUUAUAACCAUACUUAAAUAUCCAAUGCAUUAAUGAUAUGUUUGGUAUGAAUAUGAAUUAGUGAUAAAUUAAUUUCAAUCGAUAAUUUAAAUAUUUAUAUGAUCGACUUGUUUGAUAUGUUUAAUAUAAACGAGUACUGUUAUGUUAAAUACUAGAUAUGAACUUUGGGGGUUAGCUGCCCCUAAAAUUUAUAAAAUUUCUUUUAAGGUCCUUUGAAUUUUCAAUUUUUUUUAAUUUGAUAUUAUAAUGUAGUGUCUAAAAUAAGGACAAAUUUGUGUUUGACUUCUUAAACUUUUUUCAAAAUUUUUUUAUUUGAUUUCUUUUAUAGAAUUUAUAAAUUUUUAAUUAUAAAUUUAAUAAAUUAAUACAAAAUAAUAUAUAAAUAUUAAUUUGGUAAUAAAGUAAUAAUUGCAACAUCUAAGUAUAAAUAUUAUCUAAAAUUAAUUAGAUGAAAAAUAAACUUAAAUAAUUAUAAUAUUUAAUAAAAAUUGAGCAUUUAACUCUUUUUUUUCUUCUAAAUUUUGGUGACUAAGAUUAUCCCGAAUGUAAAAAUCCGUUGUUGAAAGUAGGUCUUUUCCACUUUGAUCAUGUAUAUUAUAUAUAAAUAUCUUGCCCCCUUAUCAACAAUUUUAGCUUCGACCUUGUAAAUAACACUCAAAUUUCAAAAAGGCAAUGAAAGAUAAAUAUUGCUAUAUCAAAGUGUUUGAGAGUUGUGAUAUUUGUUGCUAUUGUUAUAAUGUAUUUCGUAUGAAGUUUACAUCAGUGUUAAUUAUGAUCAUCAUCCGAAUCUAUAUCAUUAAGAUCAUCGAGAUUUUUUUUUGUGUACUUUUCAAAGUAUGAAUCAUUUCAAAUUCAUCUAUGAAUGAAGUUACGAAUUAUGCAACAUAUUUGUACAAUCCAAUGAAAUAUGAAUCAUCACUUUUACGACAUACAAAUUAUUUUUAUAAUAAUUUUUUUAUCAUAACUUAAAAAAAAUAAGAUUUAAAUAAUAUAAAUUUUUUAUUAUAACUUUAUAAAAUAAAUAUAAAUUAUUUUUAUAACAUAAUUUAUUAUAAUGAUUAUGAUUUUAACCAUUGCUUUCUACUACUUUCAAUUAUAAAAAAAUAUUUAAGUUUAGAUCCCACACCUGAUUCGAAGACAUAAAAACCUUAAUUGGAUGAAGAGAUUGACGAUCUACUCGGGAGGAGAGGAAUGAUUUUUAUAACUUUUUGAAUUCCUUUGCUUGAAGAUUGAUUUGGUAAUGGUGGAGGAAAUACUUUGCAUGGUUUGAAAAUAUUUCCUAUUUCAAAAUUUUGAAAUCUAAAAGGUAAAGGUUAAAUUAUUGGAAAUAAAAGUAUAAGAACUAAAUUUAAAAUUUUUCAAUAGUGCAGGGACCGAUGACAUAACUUAACCCUUCAAUGAUUGGACCAUUUUAGCAAAUAGCACGAAUUUUCAUCCAUCUAGUCUAGCUUUUAAGUCAAGUCAACAGUUGUAGGACCUGCCAAUAAAAUCCCUUUGUUUCGACCCAAAACCUACAAAAAAAUGACUAAACUGAUUCACAUCGACUUUGCUAUUUUUCGUAAUAAUAAUAAUAAUAAUAAUAAUAAUAAUAACAAUAAUAGUUCGUUAACCCAAAAAUAAUAAUAAAUCUGUCAUGGCCGGGUCAUUCAACCAGAUCUGAAAUUCCGUCCGAAAAUUGAGAGAGUUUAGAUAAAAAUAUAAGUUUCAAAAACUAGACUUGGGUAAAAAAAAAAGAAUCGUUUAAAAAUCGGGUCAGACCUUGGGUAAGCCUUUUAGGCCCAAUCUCGACCCUAAUUAGCAAAAAGACAAAAAAAGAAGAAGCUAUUUUCUUGCUGUUUUGCUACUAUUUUCUUAUUAUUUUCUUACUUUUUUACUAUCAUUUCACUAUUAUGUUACUACUAUUUUGUUGUUAUUAUUUGGAUAUUAUAUAACUCUUAUUUUAUUAUUAAUUUUGUUACUAUUUUAGAGGCAUUUGCUUAUUAAGUUACACCUAUUUUAAUAUUAUUUAAGUAUAAAUAUAAUAAUAAUUCAUUAUUAGUAUUAUUUAAGUAUAAAUCGAGCCCAAACAUAGCAAACGGGUCUAAAAUAAUUAUAAUUCAUUAUUGGAUUGAGGUAGAACACGAGGCUUGACUCUCAACUUGUUAAAAUAUAUUUUUUGGUACCCAUAUUUGAUUUCAAUUUUAAAUUUAGUAUCUAAGUUUGACUUCAAUGUUUAGUUUGAAACUUGAGUUUUUUCAUAUUAAUGCUUGAGUUUUUUUUUGUCACAUAUAAGUACCUAAGUUUUACUUUAAUGUUUAAUUUGGCACUUGAGUUUUUUUCUUUUGUCCCAAUUAAGUACCGAUGAUUCUUUUACUAAGGCACUCAUGUAAAAUAUUUAUUGAAGUACAUGAUGUUGUUUAGUUUAGGUACCAAAUUAAACAUUGAAACCAAAUAUAAGCACUAAAUGAUAUAUUAACCCUUAACUUUAUCAUAUAGGGACCUAAAUUUAACAAAAAAAAUUAACUGUGUUAGCAAUUAGACCUCAAUUCUAAAAUUUGAAAAGUGGAAAAAGUAAGUUCCUGAAAAUAAAAAUAUAGGACUAAAUUUUAAAUUUAUGAAUAGUACAGGACCUACAACAUAUUUUAACCCUUUGAAAAAUCAACGAUUGGACCACUUUUAGCAAAUAGCAGGAAAUUGCAUCCAUGUGGUCUAGUUUUUAAGUCAAGUCAGCUGUUGUAGGACCUGCCGACAAUAAUAAUAAUAACCACUCGUUAUUGGAUUGAGGUAGAAGACGAGGCAUGACUCUAAACUUCCUUUAAUUUUAAAGUUAAUAUAUUAUUUAGUACCUAUAUUUAAUUUUAACGUUCAAUUCGAUAUUUAAAUUUUUUUUCUUAAAUUGGUACCUGAUUUUUUUUUUGUAUUGAUACUUGAGUUUUCUUUGCCCCAUACUAGUAUUUAGGUUUGACUUCAAUAUUCAAUUUAACACGUAAGUUUUUCUUUUGUCCCAACUAAAUACCUAUGUUUUUUUUACUAGGGCGAACAUGUCAAAUAUUUAUUGAACCAUAUGAUGUCGUUUAGUUUGGGUACCGAAUUGAACAUUAAAGCCAAACUUAGGUUCCAAAUUAAAAAAAAAGAUUAGGUACCAAAUUGAAAAUUCAAGCCAAAUGUAAGUACCAAAUGAUAUAUUAACCCUUAAUUUUGUCAUAUAUAUAUAUAUAUAUAUUAUGGAGUCUACAAAAAAAUACAUCAGUUUUCAAAAAUUAUUUAGUGGUUAAAUAUAAGGUUGUCUUUUGUUGUGUUCAUUUUAUAAUGUUAUUUGAUCAAAAACUUCCUUCGGAUUAAAUGUAAAAUAUUGGCAUAAUCCUCUCUUACUUUUCAAAGUCUUGCAAGGCCUUGUUCUUGGAAAUUUCCCAUGUCCAGUGAGAGAUGUAGAGUGAUAUCUAUAUAUUUACGAUCAUUUUCAAAGCUUUUGCAAUAAGUUCUUUAUCACAAUCUUGCUGUCCGAAGAAAUUCCUGUCUAUAGAUAUGGACUGUUCCAUAUUCUGUAGGACGAAACUUUGUUUUAAUGCUUUCUUCUUCUUGUUUAUCAUCUCCUCUUUCACAUGUCUUCAUGUAGUCUUCGGCACAGCAAGUGAAUUUGAUUAUGGCGUUCACUGUAACUCAGUUGUUCAUGAAUCCAAACCAGUUGAUGAGGAGUUCAAUAUCAUGCCUUUCCCUGGACGUCAAAAUGGUUACUUCAGUGGUGGUGAUAAAGUCCUAAACAAUCCUCCUUCACGUUCCUACUCUCCACCGGAAUCUAAAACGUUCCUUUUCGAAACUCACCACGUAUAUACAACCGAUGCUGAUGAUGUCUUUAUGGUGGAAGGAAACCUGAUUUUUCAAACCUCGUUUUACUAUGAACAGAGUAUCUCCUCUGGAAGCUCAUACGUUAUAAGUUCAAGCGAUUCAAGCGACCGUGGGACACUGGACUUUGAUUUUCGAGGCUUCUGGUCUCGAACAACCGGGAAGCUUUGCAUGGUGGGAUCGAGUUAUGCUUACUCCAAAGAAGGUAAACUGCUUCAUCUUGCUGCUGUUCUUAAGAUUAAUAAUCUUAGGAAGUCAAGUACAAUCAGAACUUUAGUGACUGGUACCCUGGAUAGCUUGAAUUCAAUUGGUGAUCCAAAUCACUUUGAGCAAAUUUCACUGCUGAUGUUUCCUCAAGCAAAUUACGCUUACACCAUGGUUUCAAAACAGUUUAGUGAAGGGUGUCCUCGGGGAGCCGAUGUCCAACCGAUGUCGUCCCUCCGCUUAUCGCAAACUCGAACUAUUUGUGAUAUGUUAGGUGGAAGCAAUGCUUUCGAAUUGGAGUAUACUGGCAGUUGUAAUUCUUCAAAGAGUUGCAAUCCAUUUGGUGAUGGUAUUGGAUAUUUACCUUCAGUAAUAUCGUUGAGUAUGAUUCAGUGCUCAAACGAUAGGCUAAGCUUGAGGUUUCUGAUAGAAUUUCGGAACGAUAGCUAUCAGGGAUACUAUAGCUCUCCCAAUCUCAACACUUCAUUAAUUGGAGAAGGAUCUUGGGAUGCAAAGAGUAAUCGGCUUUGUAUCAUUGCUUGCCGAAUCUAU